GAAAUGCGAUAAGUAAUGUGAAUUGCAGAAUUCAGUGAAUCAUCGAAUCUUUGAACGCACAUUGCGCCCGCCAGUAUUCUGGCGGGCAUGCCUGUUCGAGCGUCAUUACAACCCUCAGGCCCCCGGGCCUGGCGUUGGGGAUCGGCGGAAGCCCCCUGCGGGCACAACGCCGUCCCCCAAAUACAGUGGCGGUCCCGCCGCAGCUUCCAUUGCGUAGUAGCUAACUCCUCGCAACUGGAGAGCGGCGCGGCCACGCCGUAAAACACCCAACUUCUGAAUGUUGACCUCGAAUCAGGUAGGAAUACCCGCUGAACUUAAGC
rnacentral:misc_RNA from 1 species